rnacentral:rRNA from 1 species
AUUGAACGCUGGCGGGAGGCUUUACACAUGCAAGUCGAACGAGUGGCGGACGGGUGAGUAAUAUAUGGGAACCUGCCCGAUGGCGGGGGAUAACUACUGGAAACGGUGGCUAAUACCGCAUACUAUUGGAGCUGCCCAUAUCGGAUUAGCUAGUUGGUGGGGUAAAGGCUCACCAAGGCGACGAUCCGUAGCUGGUCUGAGAGGACGACCAGCCACACUGGGACUGAGACACGGCCCAGACUCCUACGGGAGGCAGCAGUGGGGAAUAUUGGACAAUGGGGGCAAGCCUGAUGCAGCCAUGCCGCGUGUAUGAGAAGGCCUUCGGGUUGUAAAGUACUUUUGGCAGGGAAGCGGUACCUGCAGAAGAAGCACCGGCUAACUACGUGCCAGCAGCCGCGGUAAUUC